CCCAUCCCGAACACGGAAGAUAAGCUCACCUGCGUAUCGCGGAGUACUGGAGUGCGCGAGCCUCUGGGAAAUGCGAUUCGCCGCCUUCA
rnacentral:rRNA from 1 species